ACUGAGCGGCGGACGGGUGAGUAACGCGUGGGCAACCUGCCUUACACAGGGGGAUAACAGUUAGAAAUGACUGCUAAUACCGCAUAAGACCGCAGUACCGCAUGGUACAGCGGUAAAAACUCCGGUGGUGUAAGACGGGCCCGCGUCUGAUUAGGUAGUUGGCGGGGUAACGGCCCACCAAGCCGACGAUCAGUAGCCGACCUGAGAGGGUGACCGGCCACAUUGGGACUGAGACACGGCCCAGACUCCUACGGGAGGCAGCAG
rnacentral:rRNA from 1 species